rnacentral:rRNA from 1 species
AAAACUUUCAACAACGGAUCUCUUGGUUCCAGCAUCGAUGAAGAACGCAGCGAAAUGCGACAAGUAAUGUGAAUUGCAGAAUUCAGUGAAUCAUCGAAUCUUUGAACGCACAUUGCGCCCCUCGGUAUUCCGGGGGGCAUGCCUGUUCGAGCGUCAUU